UAUGGUAAUGUGCCGCAGCCGCGGUAAUACGUAGGGGGCAAGCGUUAUCCGGAUUUACUGGGUGUAAAGGGAGCGUAGACGGAUGGACAAGUCUGAUGUGAAAGGCUGGGGCUCAACCCCGGGACUGCAUUGGAAACUGCCCGUCUUGAGUGCCGGAGAGGUAAGCGGAAUUCCUAGUGUAGCGGUGAAAUGCGUAGAUAUUAGGAGGAACACCAGUGGCGAAGGCGGCUUACUGGACGGUAACUGACGUUGAGGCUCGAAAGCGUGGGGAGCAAACAGG
rnacentral:rRNA from 1 species